AUGAGAAGCUGCCACAGAGUCUUGAGGGGCACAUAUGGGGAGUUUUCUCCUCCAGAGUAUCGCAGUGAUUCCCCGUUCAACUUGUGGUGUAACUGGACAAUCUGGGCAGGCUCCAGGAAGCAUAUCAUAAUUUAUAUUCAAGGCUUUAUCACACAGGAGGAUUGUAACAGAAAUAAAGACAAAAUCCUCUUUGAAGGAGUUUCUUCACUGGUGGAAAAUGAUGUAGUUUAUGCUUGCUGGAAGAAGGAGAUGCAAGUUUUUGCCACCUUUGCUCAGGCUGUGCAUGUUGUGUUGCUGAAGAGGUACUUGCCAAAUUGCAGAGACACCCAGUUUAAAGGCAAGUAUUACAUCUUCCAGCACCAGGAACACGAAUCUCCCUCCAGAGGUGCUUUGAUUCCUGAAACUCUCGCUCCAAAGCCAUCUAAGCAAGACAAUGUUUUCCAGCCUGGAUGGACAGACUACCUUGGAGGCUCUGCAACCUUGAUGCCGAUGGGAAGUCCAGUGAAGCUUGUCCCAUACCAAGGUGCAAGUCCACAGCUCCUGGGCAUGCCAGCUGCCUGCAUGCAGGGCUCUGAGACACAGACAGGGCCAAGGUUCUGCCAGGAAGAGGAAGGCAUAGCUGGGGGUGCCCAGUGGUUGAGCUGCACCACAAGCAGAUGUGUUGCUCCAGGUUUGGGUUAUACACGUGAAUUUUCAAGUAUGCCUUUGGAAACAACUUUGUUUGGAGCCUUGCAAGUGGUGGAGCCUUCGUUGCAGCCCACAGGCAUGAGCUGGGAGAGCAGACAGUCUGUCCUGCACCCCACCCUGAGGCUGGAAGAUUUGGGAGACCUCCAGUUUACUAUUAAACCAACACGCACAAUUCACAUGGACUUGGGUGCUGAUUUACAGGCUUCCUCUCCUGGCAGAAGCAUUGGUACCAUUGGGUGCAUUGGUACCACUGUGUCCCAGGGGCUGGGUUUAAGGAAGGACAGAAACCGUGCCCAGCUGAGCACCCCAGCUGAUGGAGCAGCAGGCAGUGGUGCUGUUGGCUUUGCAGGGGGCCUGAUGCCCAGCCUGAGCAGCCCCUAUGAUGUGGUGAGUGAGGACUGCUCACAGCUGCUGCCUGAGAGAGACCAAAGCAGUUUUGGGGCUUUGCCUGUGACUCGGGCCAGGCUGGAAAGAAUGAACCUCCAGCAUAUGGAGUUCAUGGAUAUCUUCCCCCUGGAGAGUUCCAGGGGUGGUGUUGAGAAGAAAGUGGUGCCAUGUCCCACUUUGCCAUGGGACAUUCUCCUGGAGCAUCCUCAUUCAUGUGACCAGAGCCAUCCUGUCCUGCAGGCAGUCCCUGUGCACCCUGGGAGCCCCCCCACAAGCACCCAAGCAUGCAGCUGUCCAUCUGCUGAGGAAACUCCUGCAUCCUCAUGGGACACACAAAGCUGCUGCUACCAGGGUGACGCUGCCUCACAGACUUGGCUGGUGGCAUCCCCUAGGCCAACAGAUCCAGAGCUUGCUUCCACAAGCAGAUUGGAAAUAAUCCCUGCGCCAGUGUUCUCUCUCUCUGACCUCAUUCCUAUGGGCUUUGGCUCUGCCAACAUUGCCCCUAAAGGACUUUUUCCCUCUGGAGAACAGCCCAUGUCCAGGACUGUCCCCUCUCCACUGGCAGCUUUAGGUUUGGAUCCUGUCAGCCUCAGGAGAAGGGCAGGUGUCUCACCAGGAGGACAGGAGAUGGCCUCACCAUUGUCUCCUCACCAUCCAUUGGCAGCCCCCAAAAUGGGUGUAGAUGUGUCCCCUGGCUACCUUGGCCCUUGGGUGAGAGAGGAUGUGCUGGAAGAGGGCAGCCAGCAACGAGAAACCCCAGCUCCUGUGAGCAGUCCCUCUCCAGACUCUGUCCCAAGGCCUCGUGUGGGACCUCCUCGGGCCAAGGACCCCCUGAGUCAUGGGGUGGCACCAGCUCUGCUGCAACCAGGCAUGGCCACCAGUGGCAAAAUGAUUUCUGCCUUGCUGUCUGGGGCAGUCAAAAUGCAGAAAACCAUGGAAAGUCUCCAGGUGGGUGUGGGAGAGCAGAGAAAUUCCUCCUUGUAUGCUGCCCACUCUGAUCCCCCAGCAGUCCAGUGGGAACAAAUAGUUCCAAGAGGCCAGAAACUGCGGGAGGCUGCCAAAGGUCCUGCAUCCAGACGUACGGAGACGCUGGGAGGACAGCCACAGAAGCACACUGGUAGGUCUCAAAAUAUUUCUUAUUUUGGUGUGAGUCAUCUUCUGAAGCUAGAACUAAUUGAUGAGUGA
ensembl:lncRNA